GUGGGGAAUCUUCCGCAAUGGACGAAAGUCUGACGGAGCAACGCCGCGUGAACGAUGACGGCCUUCGGGUUGUAAAGUUCUGUUAUACGGGACGAAUGGUACGACGGCCAAUACCCAUCGUAAGUGACGGUACCGUAAGAGAAAGCCACGGCUAACUACGUGCCAGCAGCCGCGGUAAUACGUAGGUGGCAAGCGUUGUCCGGAAUUAUUGGGCGUAAAGGGCGCGCAGGCGGCGUCGUAAGUCGGUCUUAAAAGUGCGGGGCUUAACCCCGUGAGGGGACCGAAACUGCGAUGCUAGAGUAUCGGAGAGGAAAGCGGAAUUCCUAGUGUAGCGGUGAAAUGCGUAGAUAUUAGGAGGAACACCAGUGGCGAGAGCGGCUUUCUGGACGACAACUGACGCUGAGGCGCGAAAGCCAGGGGAGCAAACGGGAUUAGAAACCCGUGUAGUCC
rnacentral:rRNA from 1 species